rnacentral:rRNA from 1 species
UACGUAGGGUCCAAGCGUUAAUCGGAAUUACUGGGCGUAAAGCGUGCGCAGGCGGUUUUGUAAGUCUGUCGUGAAAGCCCCGGGCUCAACCUGGGAAUUGCGAUGGAGACUGCAAGGCUUGAAUCUGGCAGAGGGGGUAGAAUUCCACGUGUAGCAGGUGAAAUGCGUAGAGAUGUGGAGGAACACCGAUGGCGAAGGCGGCUUCCUGGAUCACCCUGACGCUGAGACGCCGAAAGCGUGGGGAGCGAACGGG